rnacentral:rRNA from 1 species
GAAUAUUGGACAAUGGGCGCAAGCCUGAUCCAGCCAUACCGCGAGGGUGAAGAAGGCCUGCGGGUUGUAAAGCCCUUUUGGUGGGAAAGAAAAGCAGUCGGCUAAUACCAGGUUGUUCCGACCGUCGGCCAAGAAGAAGCACCGGCCACCGUCGGGCCAGCAGCCGCGGUAAUACGAAGGGUGCAAGCGUUACUCGGAAUUACUGGGCGUAAAGCGUGCGUAGGUGGUUGUUUAAGUCUGUUGUGAAAGCCCUGGGCUCAACCUGGGAAUUGCAGUGGAUACUGGGCGACUAGAGUGUGGUAGAGGGUAGUGGAAUUCCCGGUGUAGCAGUGAAAUGCGUAGAGAUCGGGAGGAACAUCCAUGGCGAAGGCAGCUACCUGGACCAACACUGACACUGAGGCACGAAAGCGUGGGGAGCAAACAG